UACGUAGGGGGCAAGCGUUGUCCGGAAUCAUUGGGCGUAAAGCGCGUGUAGGCGGCUCGAUAAGUCUGCUGUGAAAGUCCAGGGCUCAACCCUGGGAUGCCGGUGGAUACUGUCGAGCUAGAGUCCGGAAGAGGCGAGUGGAAUUCCUGGUGUAGCGGUGAAAUGCGCAGAUAUCAGGAGGAACACCAAUGGCGAAGGCAGCUCGCUGGGACGGUACUGACGCUGAGACGCGAAAGCGUGGGGAGCAAACAGG
rnacentral:rRNA from 1 species